AGAGUUUGAUCAUGGCUCAGGACGAUCGCUGGCGGCGUGCCUAAUACAUGCAAGUCGAGCGAAUCGACGGGAGCUUGCUCCCUGAGAUUAGCGGCGGACGGGUGAGUAACACGUGGGCAACCUGCCUAUAAGACUGGGAUAACUUCGGGAAACCGGAGCUAAUACCGGAUACGUUCUUUUCUCGCAUGAGAGAAGAUGGAAAGACGGUUUACGCUGUCACUUAUAGAUGGGCCCGCGGCGCAUUAGCUAGUUGGUGAGGUAAUGGCUCACCAAGGCGACGAUGCGUAGCCGACCUGAGAGGGUGAUCGGCCACACUGGGACUGAGACACGGCCCAGACUCCUACGGGAGGCAGCAGUAGGGAAUCUUCCGCAAUGGACGAAAGUCUGACGGAGCAACGCCGCGUGAACGAAGAAGGCCUUCGGGUCGUAAAGUUCUGUUGUUAGGGAAGAACAAGUACCAGAGUAACUGCUGGUACCUUGACGGUACCUAACCAGAAAGCCACGGCUAACUACGUGCCAGCAGCCGCGGUAAUACGUAGGUGGCAAGCGUUGUCCGGAAUUAUUGGGCGUAAAGCGCGCGCAGGUGGUUCCUUAAGUCUGAUGUGAAAGCCCACGGCUCAACCCGUGGAGGGUCAUU
rnacentral:rRNA from 1 species